rnacentral:lncRNA from 1 species
UGAGUUGGAAAACAAUUUAUAUGAAAACUUAGUGGUGCAGAGAUGACUUGUUGAGAUAAAUCUCUGAGAUUAUUAAAAAACAUAGAAUAACAAAUAUUUGCAUUUUUGAACAAUUUGGAAUAGUUCCUACCAAGGUUCGCCGUACUGUACCAUAUCGGCGUUUCGACCCGGGCUCGGUAUGGUAUGGUACCGGUGUACCGGACAGUACAUCAGGGCAUACCGAGCGGUACACCCUGGUGUACCGAAUAUUAUAUUUUUUAUAUUGUAGUAGUGCUACUGUAUAGUACUGUAGCACCGUAGUAGUGCUACAGUAUAAUACUAUAGCAUUGUAGCGGUACCGGACGGUCCGCGUACCGGUAAUCUGUCGGACCGGUACGUACCGCCUGAUAUGGGCGGUACGCUUCGGUAUGACAGACCUUGAUUCCUACUGAGAGGUCUGAAGGAGACCAAUAAAAUGCACCAAAUGAAUGUGGUGAAUCAAUUAGGGUUAGUGGGGUGAUAAGAGGUAAAAGAAUUUUAUUAGAAACAUCAGAAAGAGAUGUGUUGACACUGAGUUUGACUAGUAAAAUUAGCAUUAACAGAACUCAGUGGCCGAAAAAGAUCCAUGUAGCAUACCAUAACUAAUUGGGGCCUUCUGACUUGCACAUAUUUACAUCCUGAAUUGCUGAAAUAUCCUAUUAGGUUAUUGUGUUAGCAACAUUUUUUUUUUCUUUUUCACUGUGCUGUUCUUGUCCACCUACUACAUUUUAGACUUACAUAUUUUUAUGUUCUGCAUUACCAAACUUCCUGUUAG